UGCAGAUAUUCUGGUCCUCUGGCUCU
rnacentral:piRNA from 1 species